AAAUUGAAGAGUUUGAUCAUGGCUCAGAUUGAACGCUGGCGGCAGGCCUAACACAUGCAAGUCGAACGGUAACAGGAAUCAGCUUGCUGAUUCGCUGACGAGUGGCGGACGGGUGAGUAAUGUCUGGGAAACUGCCUGAUGGAGGGGGAUAACUACUGGAAACGGUAGCUAAUACCGCAUAACGUCGCAAGACCAAAGAGGGGGACCUUCGGGCCUCUUGCCAUCGGAUGUGCCCAGAUGGGAUUAGCUAGUAGGUGGGGUAACGGCUCACCUAGGCGACGAUCCCUAGCUGGUCUGAGAGGAUGACCAGCCACACUGGAACUGAGACACGGUCCAGACUCCUACGGGAGGCAGCAGUGGGGAAUAUUGCACAAUGGGCGCAAGCCUGAUGUAGCCAUGCCGCGUGUAUGAAGAAGGCCUUCGGGUUGUAAAGUACUUUCAGCGGGGAGGAAGGGAGUAAAGUUAAUACCUUU
rnacentral:rRNA from 1 species